UAAUUCUUCUUCUUCUCUAAGCACCAUGACAGGAGCACAGCCUUUCCAGAGGGUACCUACCUAAGUUGAAGGUGGCCUUCAGUUAUCUCUAUAACCAGGUGCUCCAGAAGAGGGGGAUGAGCAUCAUUAAGCAGUGAGCAGCAUCAGGAAGACUCCUGUCACUUGUCAGCAGACUUGACUUUCAGUAAACAGUUGGUGUCUAUGAAAAUCUAACUGUCUUGUUAAAGAGAGUGAUUUCUGCAUUUGGCAUUUGAAAGACUAUGGAGGAGGCUUGAGUGGCAUUCCCACCAUGUUUCCUGAGCACAGAGAUAUGUAGCCAUCUUCUGGGACCUGCCAGUCUUGGAGAGAGAGAAGAUCCAGAAUUCUAUAAGCCGCAAACACACUGUAUUAGAGCAGGCUGAGAUCAGAUGGCUGGGGAGAAAUACAGAUGGAUGGAGUUAAGUAUGGGCGAAAUCAACGUUUCCAGAUGCACAGGGUGGACUAAGGGUGCUGUUCUUUUUGAUGAAGAGCAAGGACAAGAAGCAUCUCUUGUGAAUCACUAGGCAGGUGUUUGCUCUCUGGGGAAGUGACAGGAAACUCAUCCCUGACCCGAGGUUACUGGGAGGAAAGAGCUUCUUUUGGUUUUGUUUCUCUGCUUGGUGUACAAGUCAGUGCCCUGUCUAGGGAAGAAGAACGCAGAUGAUCCUUGGAUGUCCCCAAGGGAAGAAUGACCACUCUAUUACAGAAUUAAGGUCAUCUAGAGAUCCUGUUUCCUAUUGCACAUGAAUAUGGAAUUUGGUAACAGAAUAAACAUGACAUUUGGAAUGUUCCUAGAGCAUACUUAGGGCAACUGGCAAGGCUGACAUAGCUUUUACUGAUCUGUCUGUUUAGUGAGUGGACAGGAUGCCAGUCUGGCAGUUUGCAUUGGCAAUAAAUCACUACUAGACAUUUUAUUUAAAAUCUGGCACUGGCUUUGGAGAGGUGAGGGAUUGUCAAUUUGUUUUUAUUUUGAGGCCAGGCACAAUCAUAACACAAACAGGCCACCUGGAAACUUUAGCACAUAUGUAAAAGUGUGGCCCUGGUCUGUGGCCAUUGCAUGCUUGGCAGGAGCAGGGAGAGGUAAAUGAGAGUAAGCACUGUUGACCAGGAAGACUCUGGCAGACCUGUGCAGCCCGAGGCAGCCCUGCUGGAAACCAUGCUGGAUCCGAAAGUGUGAUAUAGGAAGGCUAUCAUCAGCAUAAUAGAUGAGAUAAAAUUUGUUUUUCUGUUUUAUCAUGAGAUUCUCACAGAAUACAUUAGGAACACACAAGCAAUGCAUUCCAUCCGAGAGAGAGAGAGAGAGAGAGAGAGAGAGAGAGAGAGAGGUCACUCCAACAAUAAAGUUAAGUAUUGAGCUGGUUUGUUCCUGCCUUUGCCAUCCUCCACCUCAUGUCUUUUCUUCUUCUCUUCCUCUGGUUUUCUGCCUUUAUUUUUGUCUUGGAUUGCCCCUUUUUUAAAGGAUAAAUUGUGAUCAAUGUCUCGCAGUUUUGAGUGAAAAAAUAUUUCACGGUAGGCACUGGAAAUGUUCUUCGGUGUAGAGUUACUGCCUAGCAAGCAUGAAAUUUAGCUUCAAUCAUAGUGCUCACACACAUGCAUACACAUGUGCGAGAAUGCAUACACACUUAUGUGCACAUGCAUGCAUACGCAAGGAGAAGUUUAGACUCUUACAGCUACUGCAGUGGCAGAAGUUAGGGCUCCUUUUCCACUCUCAGCAAUUGUGAGAUUUUCUGAAUAUUGUGUAAGGCUGAAUAGUAUCACUGUGUAGCUUUUUUAGUUUUUUCAUUGUGAACAUAUGAGCUACUCCCCCUGCCCCCUAGGAAAAUCAUAUUUCAAGUACACCGACUUACUAAGACACCAGUCUUCUUGUCUUCAUUUGCAUGUAAUAUUUACAAACCUUAAUUAGUCUCCACCUUGUUACUGUGCAAACUCUUAGGAUCACUUAGAUAUAGCUUUGUGAAUAGCUUCAUUUGUUCAUUUAUUAGAAAUAUAUAAUUUACUCAUUAAGCUACAAAUAUUUAAAUGACCCCGACUUGGCUUUCAAAGAGCAUUUCACCUCUUUUCCUUGAUUUUAUAUGUAUAGUUUUCAUAAUAGUAUAUAGCUAAAAGUAGGAAAAAUAUAGACUGGUAUCUUCUUGGUAAAAUCAUUUGAAGUGAUGUAAUGGUCAAAUGCAAAGGAAGGCACCAUUUUAAUGCUGUACUGAAGACACUCCUGGUAUUCAGGACAUUUGUACCUAAAGAUACCUGGUAUUAAAUACUCAGAAAAACUGUCGAAAUUAGAUUUAUGACCUCAAGGACUUUUCUUUGUUUCGAUAAAUGUAGUAUUAGACUGUUUACAAAACGUUCUCAAAAGUUUUCUUAUGAAUGUAAUAGGGAGUCUGUUGCUACAAUGUCCCAUGACUAAGCCAUGACUUAGUUGGUUGAAGACAUUCAUAAAAGGAUACGAAGAAAAGCAGAAAAUGAGAGCCAGCCUCAGUGAAGCCACUUAAAAACACCACAGUUCUGGUAGUUUGAACAUAUCCAAUGGCUGCUUUGAGUGUCAACUCAGCAAAUCUGUGCCCCGAAAGAUCAAGUUGGGGUGUGUAGGUAAUGACACAGAUCCCUAUAUUUAGGAUCCCGGGAGCUCUGAGAGAUACAGUCACUUAUUGGGCAUUUGCAUUUCUAUCUGACUGCCCACAGGUAACAGUGGCAAACAGACUUCCAUCCUGGUACCUGUUUGCAGCAUUUUUUUUUUUUUUGAUUCAAUAUACACAUGAAUUUGGAUUGCAGUUUUCUGAUCUGGGUGUCUUCUAUCUAUUUUAAGGGCAUACAUACAUCUCCAUGUGUAUGUGUUUACAGGGCUCUCGGGUUUAGAAUGUUAAGCUUUAUGUAUUUAAUUAAUUCAUUAAUUAAUUUCUCCUAUGCUAUGGUUGUUACAGAGCACAAAUUAUUUGUGUGUGUUAAUUAGAGUGUAAUUUUAAAUUAAUUAAAUUUGUGGAUUCAAAAUAUU
rnacentral:lncRNA from 1 species